ensembl:lncRNA
ACCAAAUUCACAGGACAAAGGCAAAGCUGCCCAUCCUGCCAGGAAGCAAAGCCUACAACUCUUCUUGCUGACACCUAUAAUUAGGCUGGGCUCUUGUCUCAGGAUGAUGAGUGCUGAUGGGAAAGAGGAGAAAGAUCCUGCCAGGGGUAUCGUGUGGAGCUGAGCCAGAGCAGACCCAGGCCAUGAGCAGCAAUUGCCAACAGAUGUUUGCCUGGUCUUAAAUUACGUUGUCUGCAUGCCUGGAAAAAGAUAGUGUCUUAUAAAUAACUGUGCUUUGAUGCUCUGUGGCCUUGCAUAUUCAGGUCCCACCGUUAGGCACGUAUGUGUUAGUCAGAACUAGCUGGAAAUGGACUGGGGGUGGAAUUUCUUUUGUCAUGUCCAGAAGUGGGGUGCUGUCAGCUCUUCCUGGGAAGUUAUGGGGGAUCGUGGAAGAAUGACUCAUCCAUUCUGUUCUGCAUGAGGAAGCCUGGGAAAGCACCAUGCUUCUGGAGGAAAAGGCGUGCAAUUCAGCAGCUUAAUACUCCCAGCACGACGUCCUCCCCAUGUGCCACUGAAGAAUGGGCACUGAGGAUUUAUAGUAACAUGCUGCAGUGCCCUGAGGCAAUGCCAGGGGAAGGCAUCUUGGUGCCCAGCAGUGCAAGGAGCUCUGUGGUAGCAGGACUCUGGGAUCCCUGGGGUAAGACAACGAUAUCCCCCAUGUACCACCUCCAGGGUGAGAACAUGAGCAGCAGAGAGGCCAACUGAGAUGUUGGGAACAAGCACAUGCCACUGUGGUUAAUGGCUUAUUGAUGGGCUUACAGCUUUUCCUUCCAUCAUUACCAUGCAAGGUCUGGGUUUAGAUUUUUACUAAUUUGUUUGUUCCUAGCUGUUCAAUAGAUCUUUUCAGCAAACAUGCUUCAAUCUUUGGGUUAUUCACAAACACGCUUGCUAAAUGUAUUACUGUCCACUUAAUGAAUUCCAGUUGUUCAUUAGCACACCUAUCAUGUGGUAUUACUUCUGCUUUCUGAAUGGAUGUGAUAAAAUAGAUGCAUUAAAUAAAAAGUAAAUUAAAAAAAAAAAAGGCAGGUGGGGAAAAAUGAAGUUUCAGUGAUGUUUUCAGGAGGAAGGUGUGAAAAACAGGUGGACUCUAUGCUGAGGAAGUCAGUGGUUUCCUGUGGAAAGGCAGAGCAGCGGACACUGAUGAAGCAGCAGCAAAGCAUGGACCGAAACCAUAACCCUGCACUGGGAUGAGUCAGAAAGAGGAGAAAGGCUGCACUGCAGCAUCCCUAAUGAAGGCUCUAGCUGCUCUGCACAGCCUGUUUUGACCCACACUGUCAUCCUCCCUGUGUAAACCUUAGUUGCAGCGUAAGCUUGUAUCUCCAGCAGAGUGGAACUGAAUGCACACCUCCUAUUUCCCCAAGGAGCUUUUAGGAUCUCCAAGUGAUCUCCCACCUGCACCCAAGAGGUAAUUAAUAGAGUAUCUUAAUUUUUUUUUUUGUGUGUGUGUGAAAUACAUCACAAAGUUACAAAGCAUAAAAUUAGAAAGCUUUGUGUUGAGAUGAAAUUUUAUUUCCCUAAAAAAUUGCUUCUGUUUCACAAUGGAGAUUGAAUUCAUC